rnacentral:tRNA from 1 species
GAAGUGUCAGAUCUAGUCGGAACUAAUACAUAUAAUCGCUAUUACUUCAGCCUUCCAAGCUGAUGAUACGGGUUCGAUUCCCACUGUACGCUUCA